UACGUAGGUGGCGAGCGUUGUCCGGAUUUAUUGGGUUUAAAGGGUGCGUAGGCGGACUGUCAAGUCAGCGGUAAAAUUGAGAGGCUCAACCUCUUCCCGCCGUUGAAACUGGUGGUCUUGAGUGGAUGAGAAGUACGCGGAAUGCGUGGUGUAGCGGUGAAAUGCAUAGAUAUCACGCAGAACUCCGAUUGCGAAGGCAGCGUACCGGCAUCCAACUGACGCUGAGGCACGAAAGCGUGGGGAUCAAACAGG
rnacentral:rRNA from 1 species